ACAGCAUGGUGUGGGUACUUCUUGAUCAGUUCCUUCAACCUCUCCCAAGUCUUAUGAAAUAUUUCUCUAUCCAUCUAGAAUAAACUAGUUAUUGCUUUUCGAAUUU